rnacentral:rRNA from 1 species
CGCCCUGUUUAAACAAAAACAUGUCUUUUUGAUGAAAUUUAUAAAGUCUGGCCUGCCCACUGAUAAUAAUAAUUGAAGGGCCGCGGUAUUUUGACCGUGCAAAGGUAGCAUAAUCAUUAGUCUUUUAAUUGAAGGCUAGCAUGAAUGGUUUAACGAGGUAUUAACUGUCUCAUUAUAAUAAUUUGAAUUUAACUUUUUAGUUAAAAGGCUAAAAUAUAGUUAGAGGACGAGAAGACCCUAUAGAGCUUUAUAAGUAUAUUUUAUAAAAGUGAUUUGGUUGUAUUUAUUAUUUUAUUAAAUAGUAUAUUUAGUUGGGGUGACUUGAAGAUUAAAUUAACUCUUUAUUUUAUAAAAACAUUAAUUUAUGAUUAAUUGAUCCAUUUAUAGUGAUUAAAAGAUUAAGUUACCUUAGGGAUAACAGCGUA